rnacentral:rRNA from 1 species
AUGCAAAGCCGCCCCGAUCGAUCAAAUCUGGAUCUCGGCGGUGGCGCCUCCUCCCUCUCCCCGCACACCGGCGCAUCCUUCGGAGCCCUCCCCGCCACCUCCUUUCCCAGCACCCACGCGACUGCCCCUCCUCCCCACAUUGCGGCCGUGAGAGCCCUCAAAAGGCUAGCCCUGGAGGACUGCUUCAAGAGGAUGAUCUGCUUCGAGACUCUGAACCCGCCGUGCCUGCUGCUGCCGUGCGGCCAGGCACCCGAGAUCUUCGACAUCGCCGGCCACUUCGCUGGGUCAGGCAGCAUCAAGGACCCGCCCAGGAUCCCCGUCAUAUGCAAGCCCAACGUCGGCGCCAUGGAGCCGGCCCUCAAGAUCGCCAACGUCAACCCAGAUCCAUGCACUACCUCCCUUUGCCGCCGGAUCCCCGUGAGGCAUGCUCAGAUCCGUCCGCCAACCGCUAGUGACGAUGCGUACGGCGCCGCCACGGCUGUGCUCGAGCGCCUUCAGCAACGCAGCAACCCACCGAAAGGAGAAAUUGCGGAGGAAUGCGCGCGUCGCCGCUUUGGCGACGACGUCCCCGCCGCUGGGCAGGAAGAGUGUUUCCACGCCUUCAACCUCCAUGUCCACGAUGUCGUACUCGAUGCCCACCUGCAAGUACUGAUAAGACAUGCUUCAAAAAUGGAGGAGGGAGGACGUGAGCUGCUACCUUGGUUCCUGUCCGCACCAGCUGCCACAGUAUGUAAUCAGGCCUCCACUAUCGUCCUCUGA